UAGAGCCUGCACCUUGCCAUAGGGUGCAGUGUGCCAGGGCGUCCUGCAGGGAGAGUAACAUCCCUAUCACGGACACCAGAACUUCAGAACCUCAAAUACUUCCCAGGAAGCCCUACCCCUGAACUAGGUGAUACGUUGGCUCCGGUUGCUGCCAUGGACUGCAGGGUGCUCUGCUGCGUGGCCCUUUGUCUCCUGGGAGCAGGCUCAGUGGAUUCCGGAGUCACGCAAACCCCAAAACAUCUGAUUAAAGCCAAAGGACAGCAAGCGACAAUGAGAUGUUCCCCUCUCUCUGGACACCUGUCUGUGUUCUGGUACCAGAAGACCCUGAACCGGGGGCCCGAGUUCCUCUUUCAAUAUUAUAAUGGAGAAGAGAGAGAAAAAGGAAACGUCCCAGCUCGAUUUUCAGCACAACAGUUCCGUAACUCUAGCUCUGAGCUCAAUGUCAGUGCCUUGGUGCUGAAGGACUCUGCACUGUUUCUCUGUGCCAGCAGCAUUGCACAGACCUGCAUGAUCAUUAGCUUGUCUCUUUUUUCCAACACGUAUUGCUUCCCUCCUCUCACUUUUCACUAUGGAUCUGUUCCCUAA